rnacentral:lncRNA from 1 species
AUGAUCCGAUUCAUCCUCAUCCAGAACGGAGCAGGCAAGAUGCGCCUGACCAAGUGGUACAUGCAGUUCGUUGAUGAUGAGAAGCAGCAGUUAAUCGAGGAGGUGCAUGCCCUGGUCACUGUCAGGGAUGCCAAGUACACAUCUACUGACGCUACGCUGGCCUCUACUUCCGCAUCUGCGUGGACGUCAAUGACAACAAUCUGGCCUAUCUCGAGACCAUCCACAAUUUCAUAGAAGUUUUAAAUGAAUCCUUCCACAAUGUCUGUGAACUGGACUUGGUGUUCAAUUUCUACAAGGUUUAUGCCACAGAUGUUCCAGGCAGGAGAAAUCCAUAGAUCAGCCAGAAAAAGGUGCUGAAGCAGCUGCUGAUGCUGCAGUCCCUGGAG